GGAAGUGUUUAACACUAAGUAGAU
rnacentral:snRNA from 1 species